GUGUCAGCAGCCGCGGUAAUACGUAGGCAGCAAACGUUGUUCGGAAUUACUGGGCGUAAAGAGUGUGUAGGCGGUCCUGUAAGAUUGGUGUGAAAUCUCCCGGCUUAACUGGGAGGGUGCGCCGAUAACUGCUGGGCUUGAGUAUUGGAGAGGAGAGCGGAAUUCCUGGUGUAGCGGUGAAAUGCGUAGAUAUCAGGAGGAACACCGGUGGUGUAGACGGCUCUCUGGACAAUCACUGACGCUGAGACACGAAAGCGUGGGGAGCAAACAGGAUUAGAUACCCUUGUAGUCC
rnacentral:rRNA from 1 species